GACGAACGCUGGCGGCGUGCUUAACACAUGCAAGUCGAACGGAAAGGCCCUGCUUGCCGGGUACUCGAGUGGCGAACGGGUGAGUAACACGCGGGUGAUCUGCCCUGCACUUCGGGAUAAGCCUGGGAAACUGGGUCUAAUACCGGAUAGGAGCCAUCUUUAGUGUGAUGGUUGGAAAGUUUUUUUGGUGUAGGGUGAGCUCGCGGCCUAUCAGGCUGUUUGUGGGGUAAUGGCCUACCAAGGCGGCGACGGGUAGCCGGCCUGGCAGGGUGGACGGCCACAUUGGGACUGGGGUACGGCCCAGACUCCUACGGGGGGCAGGAGGGGGGAAUAUUGCACAAUGGGCGCGAGCCCGAUGCAGCGAAGGCGCGUGGGGGAUGGCGGGCUUCGGGUUGUAAACUCCUUUCGGUAGGGAAGAAGCUUUUUGUGACGGUAACUAGAUAAGAAGCACCGGCUAACUACGUG
rnacentral:rRNA from 1 species